CUCCAUGUGUAGCGGUGGAAUGCGUAGAUAUAUGGAAGAACACCAGUGGCGAAGGCGGCUGUCUGGUCUGCAACUGACGCUGAGGCUCGAAAGCAUGGGUAGCGAACAGGAUUAGAUCCCCUGGUAGUCCAUGCCGUAAACGAUGAGUGCUAGGUGUUGGAGGGUUUCCGCCCUUCAGUGCCGGAGCUAACGCAUUAAGCACUCCGCCUGGGGAGUACGACCGCAAGGUUGAAACUCAAAGGAAUUGACGGGGGCCCGCACAAGCGGUGGAGCAUGUGGUUUAAUUCGAAGCUACGCGAAGAACCUUACCAGGUCUUGACAUCUUGCGCUAACCUUAGAGAUAAGGCGUUCCCUUCGGGGACGCAAUGAC
rnacentral:rRNA from 1 species